CAUACAGUAGUGACUACAGUUCCUGCUGGAAUGACUUGGAUUAAGCAAAUAUACUUCCAUUUAAAUAGUCUUAGGGGAGACUAUUUAAAUGGAAUAAAUGGUCUCCCCUAAGACUAUUUAAACAGAAUAGGUUUGGUUUCACACUCAACCUGAUUCUACCAAGCCCUGGUUCAUUUGCGUUCAUCUUAUGUGCACAAAUGUGCAUGGCGCACGAUAGAAAACAGGACGCGGGUCAAUAUAUUGUGUUUUUUAUUAAUUUGGAGAGAGAGCGGUUAAUCAGGUGCACCAUCAUGUGGUCGGAUCAUUUUGUUCUCUUAACUGUUGUCACUGCCGUAUUAUCAACAUGUCUAAUUGUUUGCUAACAUUUUUAUUCUAAACAGUGAUUUCUCGAUUUAAAAAUAAUAAAAUCGUGGCAAAACAUUAAAUUCAAAUUAAUAAUAAAAAAAAUUAAAAAUCAGAAAAAUCUCCCAGCCCUAGUUUCAGUGCAACCAAACUCAUUUUUGGCUGAACUAUUCAUUUAAGCUUAACACUCACUGAUUCUCAUAGACCUUUUUUGACCUUUUUAGACCUCUAGAGCUGUAGAGUUCUCUUCAUAGCACCAUAUAUGGCACUCUGGGCAUGAACGAUAUUCGCUAUCACAGUUCGAGGUUGUGUAGCCAUUCCAGAGAAGUGAAACUUCAUGUUCCAGAUGGCACUUCUGACUUUUACUGACUUCUCUCCCAGACCCGAGGUCCCUGUCCACUUAUGAGUGUUGUAGUUACAUAUACAUCCAGCAUCCUGUGUCCCCCCCCCCCCCAAAUACGUCUAGCACUUGGAUCAAGUGUUUGUAGAAGACAGCAGGGGGCCUCUGGCCUGUUUUGCAAACUAUUAAAAGUGUGUUGUUGUGGCAACCGUGAGAUCUGUUUUCUCAGGAGCGAACGACUGAAGUGUUUGUAUGCAUAGUUUUGAGAACUCCAUACGUCUCUUGUAGUAGUACCGUUUCAGUGCCGUUUCAAGCCUGUGAAUGAGGAUGUACAAACCUAAAUAUUGUUGUGACCCCAUCUAGGGUGAGGCUGCGACAUGAAAUGAGUCGAAACAACUAUGACUUCUUUCAAUAUUUUAUUUAUUUAAUAUUUUGGUUUAUUUAUUAGAACUGUCUCUCUGAGAAACUAUCUUUAAUAUAUUUAAUAUAUUUAGUGGUAGUGUUAAAGAGGGACUAGUUGACCUCAUUGAUUAACUGGAGAACUUCUCAACCAUCUUGACUGUAUUAGGGCCCUAUGAAAUCCAUUUUAUUUUUCCCCAAAUUAUGUAUUUUCCGUUUUAAUUUUUCUAGAUUCUGUUUUAAUAGUUUAAUUAAAUUUUAAUAAUCAAAUAAAAAAUGUCUAAUCAAUUGAAUUCAUGAAACUUCAACAAUUCAAUAAUUUAUUAAAAUUUUAUCAAUAAUAGAGUCCUAUAUAAAACCCCCCAGUGUUGUCUGUUUUAUUUUUUUCUGAAUUUUGUAUUUUAUUUAAUGCAAAUUUUAACUUUAACAUUUCAUCUUUUUAUAUUGAUCUUGUGUGAUAUUCCUUAAAACAUCUUUUAAUAAACUGUAUUAUUAUUAGUUAUUAUUAGUUUGGAGCAGUACAUUGUACUGUACAAUAGAAAUAUAUUUCUGGUAUAAUUUCAUAAGUUUAACCAAACUUUUAUUUUAGCAGGUUGUAGUGUGAAGACCUUUGAUUUUCUGUGUGUAUCUGAUUUUAUUAAUGAUUAAUCGUGCAGCCCUAACUUUGAUUUAUUCAUCCACAUUUUGUCCAAUUCUGUGACAUUCUGCGUUAUACAAUAAAUUGAAUUUUUAUGAC